AUUGAACGCUGGCGGCAUGCCUUACACAUGCAAGUCGAACGGCAGCGGGGGAGAAGCUUGCUUUUCCUGCCGGCGAGUGGCGAACGGGUGAGUAAUACAUCGGAACGUGCCCUGUAGUGGGGGAUAACUAGUCGAAAGAUUAGCUAAUACCGCAUACGACCUGAGGGUGAAAGUGGGGGACCGCAAGGCCUCAUGCUAUAGGAGCGGCCGAUGUCUGAUUAGCUAGUUGGUGGGGUAAAGGCCUACCAAGGCGACGAUCAGUAGCUGGUCUGAGAGGACGAGCAGCCACACUGGGACUGAGACACGGCCCAGACUCCUACGGGAGGCAGCAGUGGGGAAUUUUGGACAAUGGGCGAAAGCCUGAUCCAGCAAUGCCGCGUGUGUGAAGAAGGCCUUCGGGUUGUAAAGCACUUUUGUCCGGAAAGAAAUGGCUCUGGUUAAUACCUAGGGUCGAUGACGGUACCGGAAGAAUAAGGACCGGCUAACUACGUGCCAGCAGCCGCCGUAA
rnacentral:rRNA from 1 species